CAGUCCUACCUUUAUCCUUCCCAGGCUAGAGAACUUCUCCUUGUCUUCCAUUACGGCCUUCAGGACAGGCUGGGACAUUCUGUUCUUCUUCUUUGAGCUGGUGGGACUGUCAAAAUCAAAGCCGCUGACCACUGCCCUUCUGUAAGACGUGGACCUCAAGCCUCGCCGAAGGGAGCCGGGACUGUCCAUGUCGUUGUCGACUUCGCCUUCCUCCCCUUCGUGGCCCAAGGGUGCUCCCAGUCCCUCCACCAUGCUGCGCACCUUGAGAAGCCUCCUAUGGGACUCCACGUUCUGACUAUUGGAUUUACUCAGUUUAAUUUCAGAGGCAAGGCUUUUUGGGAUAAUCUGCUGCUUUCCCAUCUUGAGGGCCGCCGGGCUGUUGGUACUCAAAACCACGGAAGGGUUUGGGAGCUCAUUCCCUUGGGAGGGCAGCCUUUGGAGUGGCAGUUUUUGUUCUGAAGACUUGUGUGGGAGAGCAGGAGAGAGUCUCGAGGGGGCCAGCUCCAAGUCCCCAGCUGGCUGACCAGUUUGUGAUACUGGGCCAGAUGAGUCGGUUUUAUGGGCAAGGCCAUUGGCAAUGGGCGAAGAUACCUUACUGGCAGUCACCCCGGUGCAGUCCUCAUCGGUGGCGCAAGAGGCCGGGGUGUCCGGAGUCCGGGAGGCGCGCGACAACAGCGCCGCGGGCGAGGCCACGGUGCCAUUAGAAGUGGACUUCGGGGAGCCGCCCGACGCCGCGUAAGAAACCAGGGGUGACUUGGGCCGUCGGAGUCGAGGAGAAGCAGCUCUGUAGUCCGGGGACACCGUGCGACCAUUGGUGCUGCUGCGACACUUCACUGGGCCACUUGUGGGCGUCAAACUGAACCUCACUCCGGGCUCUCACUCAUCUGCUUGCAAUAAUGUGUGGACUACAGACAGAUUUGCUUGUAUGCACUCAGAGGAGACUGAGAGGCCAGGUGGACUAUGACUCUACAUGUCCUAAUGUCCUAAUCUUUGUGCCCUGUAUGUUUGAAAGUCACACAGUAAAAGUAAACAAAAUACAAAAUAUUUAUUAGUGUGUAGUUGUGUACAAUAUAAAUUGAAAAUCUGUAUGUAGAAUAAAAUAUCGAACAAGAAGU
rnacentral:lncRNA from 1 species